GCCUGGGUGGCUCAGUCGGUUAAGCAUCUGACUUCUACUCAGGUCAUGAUCUUGUAGUUCAUGGGUUCAAGCCCCGCAUCGGGUU
rnacentral:tRNA from 1 species